rnacentral:lncRNA from 1 species
AAGAAUUUAACAAAAUUCUCUUGCAGCACUUACAUUUCAUACUACAUAUUAAAAAUACUAGGAAAAAUAAAAAUACUAGGAAUUGGGAGGAUAGGACAAUAUCAAUUAAGGUGACCAAGGAGAAUUCAGAAAACCACAGUAUUAACUCUAAUCUGAAAACUCUUCAGAGACCAUGAGUCCAAAUUCAUCACACUUCAAAAUAAAGUACAGAACCCAGAGGUUUGAAAUGAGAGUUUUUCCAUGCAACAGAGUGGCCACACAAAAACUUCUCUUCUCUCCAGAGAGAAGUUUGGUCUCUUCUCUCCAGAACCCUCCAGUCACUACAGUAUAAAGCUCAUACAGCAGGGGUGCUAUCUGCUUUUCCAUCACAUUAUCCCCAGCAUCUAGGGCAACAUCUAGAACUAUAAUAGUUACUCAAGUAAAAUGUGUUGAAUGAAUUACCCUCUAUAAAGAACUUUCUUUUUAACAUUAACACAUCUAACACUUUUUUGAAUCUAAUUUCCUGUUCAUAACUUUGGUGCUAAUGUAACAUACUCAAAAAUUGAAGUCAUUCAAAAUUAAGAUUUUGAAGUAAAUUUGUAUUUACCUUUAAAUGCCCAUUAAACUAUUAUAAUGUAUCAAAUGUUCAUAAUCUGAUUUUUCAAUCAUCACAUUCAUUUAUUCUAUCAAUAGAUUUUUUUUUAAACAUGACUUAUGGACAACAUAAUGCUAUUAUUUUAAAAAUAUAAGCCACAAACUAACAAAGAGAGUUAAAUUAGAUACUUUCUACCAGAAUAAAGUCAAUAUAAUUUUAAAUGUNNNNNNNNNNNNNNNNUAAAAAGCAUUCCAAGUAAUUAUCUGGUUUACAAAAUAUAUAUUUUUUCCUAAUCUGUGAAGUCUUUCUUUGUUAAUAACAUGUUUUUACUAAUAAAAGAUGUAAUUUUUAAAAAAUGCUUAUGGAACUACUAUGCUUGGCUCUGCUAUCAUGACUACUGAGAAACUACAAGAUCACAUAUUCCUCCAAAACUCAACAACAAGCAUUUCAUAAGCUACUAUGGAAGCUAUUUGGAAUAGCAACUGUCUUCAGGUUCAAGUGAAAAUUUUCCAAAACAAGGCAUCCACUAUCUGACUACUGGAUGUGUUAACAGUGAAGUAUUACAUUUUGUCAACAAACAUGUCAGAACUAACAGAUACAGAAAGUUAUGUUGUUUCACAAGUGAUAUUGCUAUAUCAAGGUUAUUACUAAUGCAAAUAUUUUGAAAAGUACCCUUCCAGAAUUGCUUUUAGAGAACACAGAUCAUUCUUUUGAAUAUCUGCAAGGAUAGCAAAUCUUUUCUCUUUGAAAGUGGAAAAAAUAAUUUUAGAGGAGUCAAAAAGUAUUCAGGCCAUGGCUAGAGAAU